CUGGCGGCGUGCCUAAUACAUGCAAGUCGAACGAGUUCUCGUUGAUGAUCGGUGCUUGCACCGAGAUUCAACAUGGAACGAGUGGCGGACGGGUGAGUAACACGUGGGUAACCUGCCCUUAAGUGGGGGAUAACAUUUGGAAACAGAUGCUAAUACCGCAUAGAUCCAAGAACCGCAUGGUUCUUGGCUGAAAGAUGGCGUAAGCUAUCGCUUUUGGAUGGACCCGCGGCGUAUUAGCUAGUUGGUGAGGUAAUGGCUCACCAAGGCGAUGAUACGUAGCCGAACUGAGAGGUUGAUCGGCCACAUUGGGACUGAGACACGGCCCAAACUCCUACGGGAGGCAGCAGUAGGGAAUCUUCCACAAUGGACGCAAGUCUGAUGGAGCAACGCCGCGUGAGUGAAGAAGGCUUUCGGGUCGUAAAACUCUGUUGUUGGAGAAGAAUGGUCGGCAGAGUAACUGUUGUCGGCGUGACGGUAUCCAACCAGAAAGCCACGGCUAACUACGUGCCAGCAGCCGCGGUAAUACGUAGGUGGCAAGCGUUAUCCGGAUUUAUUGGGCGUAAAGCGAGCGCAGGCGGUUUUUUAAGUCUGAUGUGAAAGCCCUCGGCUUAACCGAGGAAGCGCAUCGGAAACUGGGAAACUUGAGUGCAGAAGAGGACAGUGGAACUCCAUGUGUAGCGGUGAAAUGCGUAGAUAUAUGGAAGAACACCAGUGGCGAAGGCGGCUGUCUGGUCUGUAACUGACGCUGAGGCUCGAAAGCAUGGGUAGCGAACAGGAUUAGAUACCCUGGUAGUCCAUGCCGUAAACGAUGAAUGCUAGGUGUUGGAGGGUUUCCGCCCUUCAGUGCCGCAGCUAACGCAUUAAGCAUUCCGCCUGGGGAGUACGACCGCAAGGUUGAAACUCAAAGGAAUUGACGGGGGCCCGCACAAGCGGUGGAGCAUGUGGUUUAAUUCGAAGCAACGCGAAGAACCUUACCAGGUCUUGACAUCUUUUGAUCACCUGAGAGAUCAGGUUUCCCCUUCGGGGGCAAAAUGACAGGUGGUGCAUGGUUGUCGUCAGCUCGUGUCGUGAGAUGUUGGGUUAAGUCCCGCAACGAGCGCAACCCUUAUGACUAGUUGCCAGCAUUUAGUUGGGCACUCUAGUAAGACUGCCGGUGACAAACCGGAGGAAGGUGGGGAUGACGUCAAAUCAUCAUGCCCCUUAUGACCUGGGCUACACACGUGCUACAAUGGAUGGUACAACGAGUUGCGAGACCGCGAGGUCAAGCUAAUCUCUUAAAGCCAUUCUCAGUUCGGACUGUAGGCUGCAACUCGCCUACACGAAGUCGGAAUCGCUAGUAAUCGCGGAUCAGCACGCCGCGGUGAAUACGUUCCCGGGCCUUGUACACACCGCCCGUCACACCAUGAGAGUUUGUAACACCCGAAGCCGGUGGCGUAACCCUUUUAGGGAGCGAGCCGUCUAAGGUGGGAC
rnacentral:rRNA from 1 species